ensembl:lncRNA
AAUUAGCACAAGUAAAAACUAUAUGAUGAAUAGGUAGGGUUGUAAGUGGCUUCUUUGUCAAUGAAUCUAAGGUGUGAUGAAAGUUUCCUGUAGUUUAUUUUUUCACAAUUUCUUCUUCUUUUUUUCAAUAAAAAUUUUUUUUAAUGUUUAUUUAUUUGGCUGCACCGCAUCUUAGUUGUGCCACACAGGAUCUUUCUUUUUGGUGCACGGACUCUCUAGAUGUGAUGCACGGCUCAGUGCUUGCAAUGCAUGGCUUAGUUGCUCUGAGGCAUGUGAGAUACCAGUUCCCCAACCAGGGCUUGAACCCAUAUCCCCUGCAUUGCAAGGCAGAUUCUUAACCACUGGACUGCCAGGGAAGUCCCCACAAUUUCGUCUUAACCAUAUUAAAUAUGCUGCCAUUUGAUGUAUCACUUUUUGAAAGCAUAUUUUUUGGUUUUUUUGACCAUGAAAUUUUUAUUUUAAAUAUUUUUAAUGUUAAAUAAUGAUAUAAAAAUUUGAUGCUAAUGUUACCACUCCUUUUUUUGCAUCUGGAAAACAGCAUAAGCAAUGUGUCUUUGCUUUGAAUGUCAGUUUUCCUGAAUUACAGUGAUGUUGGUCUAUCUCUGAGCCAUAGAUAGGAGCCAUGUAUAUUUCUUGUUGAAGCUUGCAGUCAGCAUAAUCAUACUCGUACUUUUUUGUGGCUGAAAUUUAGGAUGAAGAAUUCCUGUUUGGCAUCCCUGUUUCAGAGAAGAGCCUAAUGGAAGAGCCCGAGUCUAUGAAGUACACAUGUCCUGGUACAGGGUCAGGUACCAGGGCUUGGUGAUAUCAAAAGUUGGAGUAGCGCCCAAACUGUUCAGAUGUCAGCUGGGUAUUCUGACAUUUGAAAAGAGAAAGCAUGGAGGUGACUGUAAUCUAGUUCUUGGCACGCCCUUAACAGAGCAUGUGGCGCUGGAUGAGAAAUCGCAGGUCCCAGGCUUGUCUUCUGACAUCUCCUCCCCUCUGCUUCAUAAAUAGCCACCUCCUCUGGGCUUAUAAAUUACGUUGCAACUGCUUGGGAGCUCUGUUUUGACCUCUUAUUUGCAUCACCACAUAAAGUCAUGUUGCCAUGAGCACCGCUUGUUAGUGCCAUGUGUUGGGAAUGAGACACACUGGAAGCAGAAUCAAACAGCAGGUGAGUCAAAGCACAGUGCACCAUGCCUUUGAGGAUCAUAAAAUGGGCAUUGCACUACAAAAGGUGGCCAACCUGAGGAUGCCAAGCUGAGUAAGAGGACAUACUCCAUGGGUCCUAUGCGUUGGAGGCCAAGGCUGGAGGCAAGACCCAGUCAGACAGAAGGCUUGAGGGCAAACAGGGAAAUCAAAGUGCAGACCAGUCAGAGAGGGAAGCUGAGCAUAGGUCCCCUGUAAGCUGAGAGCUGUGACACUCUAACACAGUCUUCACCAUAUAGCCCUCUCCAUAGACAGAGCACUGCCCACAGACAGUGGAUGAGGUUGAAAGCUGCCUGACGCCUGUAUUACAGUAGCAGGGCUGGUAUGAGCCCUUCCUUUGGCAUAAACAUAGAAAUAAGCUUCAGGCAAAUUGAAAGGCCUGCAGAUUAGCUGGGUGGCCUUCCUUGUAAAUGUAAGCCCUGGACCUGAAGUGACUUUGUUACCUACGUGUCCACUAUAAGACUUCCCACCCCUACCCCUAAAUACACAUAUGUGCAUAGUAUGUGUGUGAAUAUAUGCACAUGUGUGUACAUACAUGUGUAUAUGUAUGUGUAUAUACUAUAUGGUUUAUAUACAUGAGUAAUGAACAUGAAAUAUUAUAUACAUGAUGUAUGUGUCCAUCCAUACAUAUACACACUCAAAACUGAAUUUUUCAAGACUCUUGUACCCUUGCCAAAGCUCCAUUGAUUUCCUCCUUCCUCAGGCUAGCACCCCUCCCUGUGCCCCACCACAUUAGCCCCAUUAGUUGCUAUUUCUCGGUCAUGGCUCCAUGCUGUGCCUUGGGCAGCACCAUAGGCUUCAAACCUUUUCAAAUGCUUUCAGCUCCUCAGAACUGACUUGUUCAGUGUUCCAUUUCCUAAGAACCUUUUUGGUGGGAUGGGUUCUAAUCUAAUAAGCUGGCUCCAUUAGCUGGUCAUUAAUGACAGUGUGUUAUACUGUUUGGAGAGCAUAUUUGCAUAUUAACCUGUCCUGAGUUUUAUCGCAAAUGGUCUGCUGCCUGGGCCUGAAUGAGAGCCAGGUAAGUGGUGCCUCAGAUGCAAAAUUCAAGGAGGUGUUCACACAACACUGAGAGUAAGCACCCUAGAUUUAUCACCUGAGGAGCUUCUCUUGCUUCCCUGAGUUCAGGCCCUAACUGCCAGGUGAUAGGAAGGUAAAGCUUUGUGAUGAGCAAGAAGAGAGAAACUCCUUGUCUCCAAAAUCACAUUCCGUAGCUAUCUGCUUGCUCUAAGUAUUAACUUGGGGACGCCUCAGUCUUAAAUUCAUUUGCUAAGUCAAAAUGUAAAAUAUCACAUAUGUUAAUUUGCAAGAUAUUUCUUUUUAAAAAAUUCUGUAUAUUUAUUUUUGGCUGCUCUGAGUCUUUGGUUGUUAUGUGUGAGCUAUUCUUCAUUGCAGUGCACGGGUUUCUCACUGUGAUGACUUCUCUAGUUGCGGAGCACAGGCUCUAGGGCACAAGCUUCAGUCCUUGUGGCAGAGAAGCUUAGCUGCCCCGCAGCAUGUGGAGUCUUCCCGGCCAGGUAUCAAUCCUGCGUCCUCUCCAUUGUCAGGAAGAUUCUUAACCACUGGACCACCAGGGAAGUUCCAAGAUAUAUCUUAGUGCAUAACAGUUUACAAACAGCAAAAAAGAAAAGAAAAAAGGUUCUGGGUAAUAGCAACCGAAAAAAGUUGGGCACACAAUAAUACUGAUUUGGCACUGAUUUCAUUUUAUUUUUGUAGAAUGUCACUUCUGAAAUAGUAUGAUAUUAAAAGGAUAAAUUUAAGAUAUAAAAUUAGAUGAUCAAAAACAUAAAUCUUGUGAAGUCAAAGGCACAAGUAUAUUUCUCAAAUAGAUGAACUACUUUAAAGAGAAAAUUCUCAACAUUCCCAGGGAUCCACAUCACCAUGGGCACAUUCCACCCCACUGAGGUCCUGUGCAUUUCCAGGUCCUAAUGACGAAUGUAAUACUAACAUUUGGUGACUUCCUGUCACCUUGCCUACAUCAGGAGUGCAAAGGCAAUGUGGUGAUAAUUAGGAAUAUGGAGUGCAAUCAUUUCAGAGGUUCCAGAAAUCACUCUGGUCAUUAACAAAAUGAAUAAGAAACUAUUACAUUACACUCUUAUUAAAGGGAUGGUCAUUUUGAGCAAUAAUUGCUUUUGAAAACAAAUGGGCAGUUAUUUUAAAUCUAUUGCUAAAGCUAACUUUCUUAGCUAAAAAUAAGUGAUGUGAGCUUUGAUGCAGGGAUUCCUCAUAAAGAAGCAACAAUUUGCAGCCAAUUAGCCAACCGUGGGCUUCCUAUGUGGUGCUAGUGGUAAAGAACCCACUUGCCAAUGCAGGGGAUGUAAGAGAUACAGAUUCGAUCCCUGGGUCAGGAAGAUCUCCUGGAGGAGGGCAUGGCAACCAACUCCAGUAUUCUUGCCUGGAGACUCCCAUGGACAGAGGAGCCUGGUGGGCUAUAUAGUCCAUGGGGUUGCACAGAGUCAAACAUGACUGAAGUGACUUAGCAUGAGCAAAGCAAGCCACCUGUGCUAUUUCCCCCCUGGGAGCCCAGGGUGCAAUGGCUGCAAAUAGGAGCCUUUUCGGUAGUGUAUACAGCCUGUUGCCUGCAUGAGUUGCCCUAAGGAACUUGAAUACGACCCUUUACAGUGGACAUGCAGACAUGACUGGCAUGCUGUCUGCAAUCUAAGCUCCAGACAGGUAUGUGCAGUGCCUUUGGAAAGCCCCAGGGCAGUGGCCAGGGUCCACACUGGUUAAGUCAUAAUGUUCAUCUGCAUCAAGCUGCAGAACAAGGAGCAUGUGACUGAGAUCCUCCGCAGGGUCAAGUUCACAUUCUCUGGCAGCCAGAAGCUCCACAUCUCCAAGAAGGGAUUAAAUUUUCUAAAUUUA